AAGUCGUAACAAGGUAACCGUAGGUGAACCUGCGGUUGGAUCAUUAACAACCAUAGUGAGGGUAGCGUAAGCUGCCCCCUCUUCAACACUGCCAACAGUCAUGUCCCUUGUGGAUUCGCGUCCACUUAAACCCCUUUGCCAGAGUAGUUGGGUAAAUGUUAAUUUUACAACUUUUGACAACGGAUCUCUUGGCUCUC
rnacentral:misc_RNA from 1 species